rnacentral:rRNA from 1 species
ACGCUGGCGGCGUGCCUAAUACAUGCAAGUAGAACGCUGAAGGGAGGAGCUUGCUCUUCUUGAAUGAGUUGCGAACGGGUGAGUAACGCGUAGGUAACCUGCCUUAUAGCGGGGGAUAACUAUUGGAAACGAUAGCUAAUACCGCAUAACAGUGGGUGACACAUGUCAUUUAUUUGAAAGGGGCAAUUGCUCCACUACAAGAUGGACCUGCGUUGUAUUAGCUAGUAGGUGAGGUAACGGCUCACCUAGGCGACGAUACAUAGCCGACCUGAGAGGGUGAUCGGCCACACUGGGACUGAGACACGGCCCUGACUCCUACGGGAGGCAGCAGUAGGGAAUCUUCGGCAAUGGGGGCAACCCUGACCGAGCAACGCCGCGUGAGUGAAGAAGGUUUUCGGAUCGUAAAGCUCUGUUGUAAGUCAAGAACGAGUGUGAGAGUGGAAAGUUCACACUGUGACGGUAGCUUACCAGAAAGGGACGGCUAACUACGUGCCAGCAGCCGCGGUAAUACGUAGGUCCCGAGCGUUGUCCGGAUUUAUUGGGCGUAAAGCGAGCGCAGGCGGUUUGAUAAGUCUGAAGUUAAAGGCUGUGGCUCAACCAUAGUUCGCUUUGGAAACUGUCAAACUUGAGUGCAGAAGGGGAGAGUGGAAUUCCAUGUGUAGCGGUGAAAUGCGUAGAUAUAUGGAGGAACACCGGUGGCGAAAGCGGCUCUCUGGUCUGUAACUGACGCUGAGGCUCGAGAGCGUGGGGAGCGAACAGGAUUAGAUACCCUGGUAGUCCACGCCGUAAACGAUGAGUGCUAGGUGUUGGAUCCUUUCCGGGAUUCAGUGCCGCAGCUAACGCAUUAAGCACUCCGCCUGGGGAGUACGACCGCAAGGUUGAAACUCAAAGGAAUUGACGGGGGCCCGCAC